rnacentral:rRNA from 1 species
CCUACGGGAGGCAGCAGUGGGGAAUAUUGGACAAUGGGCGAAAGCCUGAUCCAGCAAUGCCGCGUGAGUGAUGAAGGCCUUAGGGUUGUAAAGCUCUUUUACCAGGGAUGAUAAUGACAGUACCUGGAGAAUAAGCUCCGGCUAACUCCGUGCCAGCAGCCGCGGUAAUACGGAGGGAGCUAGCGUUGUUCGGAAUUACUGGGCGUAAAGCGUACGUAGGCGGUUAUUCAAGUCAGAGGUGAAAGCCUGGAGCUCAACUCCAGAACUGCCUUUGAAACUAGAUAGCUAGAAUCUUGGAGAGGUGAGUGGAAUUCCGAGUGUAGAGGUGAAAUUCGUAGAUAUUCGGAAGAACACCAGUGGCGAAGGCGACUCACUGGACAAGUAUUGACGCUGAGGUACGAAAGCGUGGGGAGCAAACAGGAUUAGAUACCCUGGUAGUCCACGCCGUAAACGAUGAUAACUAGCUGUUCGGGCUCUACGAGCUUGAGUGGCGCNGCUACGACAUUAAGUUAGUCCGUCCGUCGGGAGGUACGGUCGCGAGAAGUUAAACGUACUAAUUAGAAGUUAGUUACGGCGUGAGACGUUGCGACGGACGACGACGAGGGAGGAGG